UACGUAGGGUGCAAGCGUUGUCCGGAUUUAUUGGGCGUAAAGAGCUCGUAGGCGGUCUGUCGCGUCGGAUGUGAAAACCCAGGGCUCAACCCCGGGCGUGCAGUGGAUACGGGCUGGCUAGAGGCAGGCAGGGGAGAACGGAAUUCCCGGUGUAGCGGUGAAAUGCGCAGAUAUCGGGAGGAACACCGGUGGCGAAGGCGGUUCUCUGGGCCUGUACUGACGCUGAGGAGCGAAAGCGUGGGGAGCGAACAGG
rnacentral:rRNA from 1 species